AUUGAACGCUGGCGGCAGGCCUAACACAUGCAAGUCGAACGGUAACAGGAAGCAGCUUGCUGCUUUGCUGACGAGUGGCGGACGGGUGAGUAAUGUCUGGGAAACUGCCUGAUGGAGGGGGAUAACUACUGGAAACGGUAGCUAAUACCGCAUAACGUCGCAAGACCAAAGAGGGGGACCUUAUGGCCUCUUGCCAUCGGAUGUGCCCAGAUGGGAGUAGCUAGUAGGUGGGGUAACGGCUCACCUAGGCGACGAUCCCUAGCUGGUCUGAGAGGAUGACCAGCCACACUGGAACUGAGACACGGUCCAGACUCCUACGGGAGGCAGCAGUGGGGAAUAUUGGACAAUGGGCGCAAGCCUGAUGCAGCCAUACCGCGUGUGUGAAGAAGGCCUUCGGGUUGUAAAGUACUUUCAGCGGGGAGGAAGGGAGUAAAGUUAAUACCUUUGCUCAUUGACGUUACCCGCAGAAGAAGCACCGGCUAACUCCGUG
rnacentral:rRNA from 1 species